rnacentral:SRP_RNA from 1 species
GCUGGGCGCGGUGGCUCACGCCUGUAAUCCCAGCACUUUGGGAGGCCGAGGCUGGAGGAUCGCUUGAGCCCAGGAGUUCUAGCCUAGCCUGGGCAACAAAGUGAGACCCCGUCUCUA